CAGAGCCACCUGAGGAGAUGUCAAAUCACAGUUUGGGUUUCCUACAGGAGCUAGGAACCCAAAGAAACCAAAGACGGCAGCGAUACUGAAAGCGAAAAAGAUUGAUGAACCCAUUUACUACCAACUAAAAACAAAACACCAGACCAUCUGCAAAUUGGCAAUUGUCUUGAUUCCAUCAGAGAGCUGAGAUUGCAGAGCAACCAACUACCCCAAAAUAUAAGACAAGACAGCAGCCUCCAUGAAGAUGUAGGAUGCACACACAUGCUUACCUGGAGGAGAUGCUUCUGGACACCAUGCACCCUGGCUUCUUCUCAAGGUAAUUUCUGGUGCUCAGGAAAACUAUUGGGAGCAGCAGAUGAGAAGAGAGGAGGCUUCCUGAUGGAGCUGUCAUGGCACAGGGGCAGUCUUUGCUGGCACGACACAGACCCCCUCCUAAAGCCUUCUCCCCUACAGAGGGCAAGAGCCUUAAGCGAGUUGAGGGAAAGCAGCAAAUCCUGUCACACUAAAGCACAGGUGAAGACUCUGAGGCUGGGGAAGGAAACAGAUUAAAAGAAGAGAACCACGACCCUGGAGGGACACAGGUGUAUAUCCCAAGCCCAGAUCAUUAGCAAUCUCCUGCUAUGGGGCUGGAACAGGACCACAGCAAUAAAGAGCACCAGGAUUUGCCGGCAGAGAGCUGUUGAUGCUCUGAUCACUGAGCCAUCAGUUUUAUUACUUAAAUAUCUCACCUCAAUGCUAAACAUUGAGGUUUUUAAAAACAUCGUUACUGACUCCUAAAUUUUUGUCUAAAAAUUAACUCCUGGUUUUCCCCAGUCAUGUUACAAGACGAAGCUUUUUGAAUGGCUGCCAAAGAAUGGGGUUUAGACAAUCCCUUUACUUUAGGGCUUUG